GACGAACGCUGGCGGCGUGCCUAAUACAUGCAAGUCGAGCGCAGGAAGCAAAACAAUCCUUCGGGUGCGUUUUGUGGAAUGAGCGGCGGACGGGUGAGUAACACGUGGGCAACCUGCCUGUAAGACGGGGAUAACUUCGGGAAACCGGGGCUAAUACCGGGUAAUCUUUUGCAUCGCAUGAUGCAAGGGUAAAAGAUGGUUCUGCCAUCGCUUACAGAUGGGCCCGCGGUGUAUUAGCUAGUUGGUGAGGUAAUGGCUCACCAAGGCGACGAUACAUAGCCGACCUGAGAGGGUGAUCGGCC
rnacentral:rRNA from 1 species